AUGAAAUCUAACUACUAAAUUCACGGUAAAUCUCAUCUGAUUAUAAAGAAAAUGAUGCAUUUUAUAAUUAAUCUACCUAAAUCACAAGUUUUAUCACAAAUGAACCAUGGCCUGUGAUAAAUGAGAAGACUGUUAUUCCAAGGAUGCAAAUAGAAAUUCAUCCUCGAGAUGGUUAAAAAUAAAUAUUAAAAAGAAGAUAGAUGAAAUCCUG
rnacentral:misc_RNA from 1 species